rnacentral:rRNA from 1 species
GACGAACGCUGGCGGCGUGCUUAACACAUGCAAGUCGAACGGAAAGGCCCUGCUUUUGUGGGGUGCUCGAGUGGCGAACGGGUGAGUAACACGUGAGUAACCUGCCCUUGACUUUGGGAUAACUUCAGGAAACUGGGGCUAAUACCGGAUAGGAGCUCCUGCUGCAUGGUGGGGGUUGGAAAGUUUCGGCGGUUGGGGAUGGACUCGCGGCUUAUCAGCUUGUUGGUGGGGUAGUGGCGUACCAAGGCUUUGACGGGUAGCCGGCCUGAGAGGGUGACCGGCCACAUUGGGACUGAGAUACGGCCCAGACUCCUACGGUAGGCAGCAGUGGGGAAUAUUGCACAAUGGGCGGAAGCCUGAUGCAGCAACGCCGCGUGCGGGAUGACGGCCUUCGGGUUGUAAACCGCUUUCGCCUGUGACGAAGCGUGAGUGACGGUAAUGGGUAAAGAAGCACCGGCUAACUACGUG